rnacentral:misc_RNA from 1 species
AAGUCGUAACAAGGUUUCCGUAGGUGAACCUGCGGAAGGAUCAUUAUCAAUUAGCGUUUCUUGGGCCGUUAGCGGUUCGAGAUUUGUUUUUUGUGCACUGUCUUUUUGUUUUCCGCGCUCCCCCCUCCUUUGCUGGGGGGGGGAUGUGUGGGAAGCAGCUUGAUUUUCUUAUUUUACUUUUUUAUUUUAUUUGCCUUGCAACAGCCCCGCAAAGGGCCGUCGCAAGGAACUUAAUUAAAAAAAAGACAACUUUCAGCAAUGGAUCUCUUGGCUCUU